AAGCCGUGAUUUGUAGAAAUUUCGAAAUACCAUUUUUCUCACUCUCCCGCGCCAUCGGACGCCAUCUUUUUUUCUUCUUUUCGUCGAGCCACAAAUUUCCUCUUGUCUCAUCGAGGCUUUUAAAGUCACCGAAAAAAAGGAAGCGAGGAAAGUAUCGAAAGCGAACGUAGACACCCCGACGCUCCCGAGGAAGCCUGCCGACGUUGGCGAUGCCUGGCGUCGCUGCAAGGCCCGCGCGCGCCUUGCUAUCUCCAGCCUCGACGAUAUGUCUAACACGACGCCGCUAUUCGGUUGACAAGUCUGGAACAGCUGAGCACUUAGCCCCGGAGACUUUGCCGACGCCGAUGAUUCCACUCGGCGGUUCCCGAGGGACGCAUCGGGACUUCCGCCGGCUAGGGUAACGCGAGUACUCGACUCCUUAGUCCCGUUCCCGGAUCGUAAAUCCUGACACAACUAGCAACCUCGUAAUUUAUACUCGAUCCUGCGAGACCUUCGACUGGCUUCUUCGAGAUGAACUGAAAAAUCAUUUCGAUUGAAUAACAUUCGAAACGGCUUCGUAUAUCACAUAUGAUGCUCCAGUUGAACGAAGCACCGAGAAGAAACGAAACUGAACCGAGAUUGAGUCUGGCUUGGACGCCUGACUGCCUGGCGGCCGGCGUCGCGUGGGGAAGGACUAAACGCGGAGCAGUGGGAAGAUGGAGG